rnacentral:rRNA from 1 species
GCAUAACGCGAAGAACCUUACCAAGGCUUGACAUAAUACUGAAUAUGUUGGAAACAACAUAGUCCUUCGGGACAGUAUUACAGGUGGUGCAUGGUUGUCGUCAGCUCGUGUCGUGAGAUGUUGGGUUAAGUCCCGCAACGAGCGCAACCCUUGUCAUUAGUUGCCAUCAGGUAAAGCUGGGCACUCUAAUGAGACUAUCGGUGAUAAACCGGGGGAAGGUGGGGACGACGUCAAAUCAUCAUGCCCCUUAUGUCUUGGGCUACACACGUACUACAAUGGCUAUUACAACAGGCAGCUAAGGAGUAAUCCGGAGCAAAUCCCAAAAGAUAGUCCCAGUUCGGAUUGUGGGCUGCAACUCGCCCACAUGAAGUCGGAAUUGCUAGUAAUUGCAGGUCAGCAUACUGCAGUGAAUACGUUCCCGGGUCUUGUACACACCG